CAGUGCUAAAUGUGGAAACAAAAGUGAAAGAAUGAUACUUCAUAAUGGGCUUAGCCUUUUACAUCAGGGUUGAUCAGAAUGUGUGAACCAGAAUCACCUCCAAAAUAGAAAUGCUACUAUCAAUGGGACAGAAAAGAUACCUGGGAAAGAUUGCUCCUGUUGGCUGUGACAGCUUCUCUGACUUUGUUUGUGAUGACUUCGAGAGUCUUAAGGAGAAAUCAUCGGCUAUUUUGUAGAAUGGCCCUCAAGUGUGGUUUUGGCAGGUGAUUUUCUCAUGAUUGGACUGGGGUUGUGGGUUUUUGGAAGGAAGAAUACAGACAUAGUCAUUUCCAUAACAUCCAUUCACUUCAAAGCAAUCCUACGUUUGGGCAGUGCUCAGCAAGGAUGGU
rnacentral:lncRNA from 10 species